rnacentral:lncRNA from 1 species
GGUCAAUCCAAACUGAAUCCAAUUCAAUUGGACUUGAUCUAAAAAUAAUUACUCAAUCAAAUUGAGUUAAUUAGUGAUCAAAUCACUAAUUAAAUCUCUCAUAAAUAUUGAGUCCAAAUUCGAUGGGCAAUUAGGCAUCAGAGACCAUCGAUAUGAAAUCCUGAUCAAAGAGUUCAAAUUUCAAAUUCAAAAUUUGAAAUUCAAAAUUUUGACCUCGGUACCCAAAAUAUGUGGAACUCAUGAUCAGAGAAUCCUAAUUCUCAAUCAUAGAGUCUCAGACACAUAAGACUCAUAAUCAGCCAUCAGAUUAGAAAGGAACCUCUAAUGUAUGUGACCCUGCAGGUUCGAACCUAAGUCGGUAGCACAGGAACCAAUUUCUGUACUAAUCGAAGUGACCAUCUAGCAAUGAUACCCGACGAUCGGAUAGGUCGAAUAGUCGCAAUCGCAACAUUCAGAACCUAUGUGAAUAUGGUUACCGUAUAAUUCAUCCCUUUUGACCCCUGUGUUUAGGAUGACUC